rnacentral:RNase_P_RNA from 1 species
CAGAAAAUAUAUGGUCGCUGUUUCUAUAAUUCAUUGGGUUAUAGAAAGAGAGGAAAGUCCGGGCUCCUUCGGAAAGGACGCCGGUUAACAACCGGGAGUAGCAUUGGUGACGAUGCUGCUACAGAGAGCGCAGCAGAAAACAAACCGCCUUGUUUACAAGGUAAGGGUGAAAUGGUGGGGUAAGAGCCCACCGGGCAGACGGUAACGGAUGUCGCAUGGCAAGCCUCGUCUGGAGCAAGACCAAGCAGUGGCUGUAACUCCGAUAUGGAAGCAGAUCCUUUGGGGUUGUUUCCACAGCUACGGGUAGGUUGCUGGAGAUACAGGGAAAUCUGUAUCCUAGAUAGAUGACCAUGCUUGAUGGUGACUUUUAGUUGCCAUCAAGUGACAGAACCCGGCUUAUUAUAUUUUCUGUCUU